CGGCCCACAUCAUAUUGUUUGGAGUCCAAGAACUUUGUCAUGUCAGAGAGUCUGCCAGUUUGAUAUCCCAAUUCCCAAGCCGGCAAAAUCCUUUGAGCAGACAAGAAGAGAAUUACGAACAUCCCAAAGAAAACACAAGCUUUCCACUCUGAUAAUAUUGCCAGCAAUUUAUUUCAAUGAAUCGGAGGAUAUUGAGUCUGAAUCCGAUCUUGGGUGAGUGAAGGAUGUCCCAAGCUCAAGUCUCCUACAGUUGUGGUUCUUGUGGAUACCCUUUGAACUUGUCGUCUUCAAAUCGAUUGACUGCUGAGUCUGGCAUAGGCUCCAACUAUAGAAAGUCCAUCAAGAAAGGUCUUAUUUCAUUCCUUACAGUUGAUCUUAGUCGGUUCACACAGGUUGAUGAGGUAAACUGUUUUCCAGUCUCUUGGGGUCGUUAUCGUUCAAAGACUAAACUUCUCUGCCGCAAAUGUGGGGUUCAUAUCGGUUAUGGAUAUGGAGACUCUUCUGUUCUUUGUGGUUUUGACUCUCCCAACUCAUCAUCUACUUCAUCUUAUAGAAAGUUCAACAUAAAAAUACGAGCUCUACAACCUUCGGAACAGUGCUAACAUGAAACCUACUUGUAGCUCUAGUAGUAAUUCUCUUACCACCAUCAUGGACUUGGCUGAUGAUUGUCUCAUCUUUAUUUUCCAAUGCCUUGUUUCUGGCUCUGACCGUGAAUCCUUUGGCUUGACUUGUCAUCGAUGUCUUCGUGUUCAAAAUCUUAGUCGUCGAUCCUUACAGUUUCAAUGUUCAUUCAAACAACUUGACAUUUCUUCAUUAUCACUUUCAGCAUUUACACUUGUUGUCCCUAUCUGGGUGCACAGAACUACCAGAUUCAGGCUUGUCCCACUUGGUAAUCUGGAGUGUUGUGUUGUUUAGGUAUUACUGAUCAUGGGUUGUAUAUGGCAGCUACUGGUUGCCCCUCGUUGCAAGUUAUCAGCCUUUACCGUUGCCAAAUUACUGAUUUUGGGUUAGGAAAUUUGGAUAAGUCUUGCUCAGUUUUAAAGGAUGUGAAUCUAUUGUACUGCUAUUUUAUUUCUGACUGUGGGCUAAAAGCUCUUUCACAAGGUUGUCGUCAACUUCAAGCGGUUAAGAUAUCACAUUGCAAGGGCAUAACUGGUGUUGGCUUUAAAGGUUCCUCAUCAACUUUAGCUUAUGUAGGAGCCAAAUCAUGUAAGCUUGAGCCAGAAUGUCUUUUGGGAAUUGUUAGUGGGGGCGGGAUUGAAUGUAUCUUGCAAAAUUGUAGAAAUGGCUUGGCAGCGAUUGGGAGAGGAUUUGCCUUCCGCCUUAAAAUUCUUAACCUUCGGCUUUGUAGAACUUUUGGUGACAUGUCGAUUGUAGCAAUUGCAGAAGGUUGUCCACUACUCCAUUGUGUCAUGAGGUCAAAAUUGUGGGAUGGUCUUCUAUCGGGAUGAGUUGUCACAAGUUGGAGAAGCUUCAUGUCAACCGGUGUCGGAAUCUAUGUGAUCAGGGUUUAGUGGCUUUGCGGAAUGGUUGCAAACAACUCUCCGUUUUGUACAUGAACGGUUGUCCUAAGAUUACUUCAACAGCAAUGGAGUUGUUCAAUGUUAUAGGAGUGAGGUUACCAUUAAGAAUGAAGAGAAGUGUAUAGGUCCCAUCUGGGAGUUGAGAUGAUAGUUGAUGAAAAAUAAUUUGACUUAUUUGAUAUGAAAUUUUCUAUUAUUUUCUGAAGAUUUAACUUGCUUCAGCAUGUGUACUUUUAACUGGGGAAAGACUUGUGAAUUUCUAAUUGAUAAUUUGUGAAAUUAAUUUUACAAUA